rnacentral:rRNA from 1 species
CAGCAGCCGCGGUAAGACGUAGGAUGCGAGCGUUGUCCGGAUUUAUUGGGCGUAAAGAGUUCGUAGGUGGUUUGUCAAGUCUGAUGUUAAAGAUCGGGGCUCAACCCUGGGACUGCAUUGGAUACUGGCAGACUUGAGUGUGGUAGAGGCUAGUGGAAUUCCCAGUGUAGCGGUGAAAUGCGUAGAUAUUGGGAAGAACACCGGUGGCGUAGGCGACUAGCUGGGCCAUAACUGACACUGAGGAACGAAAGCCAGGGUAGCGAAUGGGAUUAGAUACCCCCGUAGUCCCUGUCUCUUAUAC